GAUGAACGCUGGCGGCGUGCCUAACACAUGCAAGUCGAGCGUGAACCGUCUGAAUGAAACUUCGGUCGAGUGAGGAUGGGGAAAGCGGCGGACGGGUGAGUAACGCGUAGACAACCUGCCCCGUACAGAGGGAUAGCCUCGGGAAACCGGGAUUAAGACCUCAUAAUACCAUUAUCUCACAUGUGAUAAUGGUCAAAGAUUUUAUCGGUAUGGGAUGGGCCUGCGUCUGAUUAGCUGGUUGGUGGGGUAACGGCUCACCAAGGCGACGAUCAGUAGCCGACCUGAGAGGGUAAUCGGCCACAUUGGAACUGAGACACGGUCCAAACUCCUACGGGAGGCAGCAGUGGGGAAUAUUGCACAAUGGGCGAAAGCCUGAUGCAGCAACGCCGCGUGAGCGAGGAAGGCCUUUGGGUCGUAAAGCUCUGUCGAGGAGGAAGAUAAUGACGGUACUCCUCGAGGAAGCCCCGGCUAACUACGUGCCAGCAGCCGCGGUAAUACG
rnacentral:rRNA from 1 species